GUGCCAGCAGCCGCGGUAAUACGUAGGGUGCAAGCGUUGUCCGGAAUUAUUGGGCGUAAAGAGCUCGUAGGCGGUUUGUCGCGUCGAAUGUGAAAACCCGGGGCUCAACCCCGGGCCUGCAUUCGAUACGGGCAGACUAGAGUUCGGUAGGGGAGUCUGGAAUUCCUGGUGUAGCGGUGAAAUGCGCAGAUAUCAGGAGGAACACCGGUGGCGAAGGCGGGACUCUGGGCCGAUACUGACGCUGAGGAGCGAAAGCGUGGGGAGCAAACAGGAUUAGAAACCCGCGUAGUCC
rnacentral:rRNA from 1 species